UACGUAGGGUGCAAGCGUUGUCCGGAAUUAUUGGGCGUAAAGAGCUUGUAGGCGGUUUGUCGCGUCUGCUGUGAAAUUUCGGGGCUCAACCCCGAACUUGCAGUGGGUACGGGCAGGCUAGAGUGUGGUAGGGGAGACUGGAAUUCCUGGUGUAGCGGUGAAAUGCGCAGAUAUCAGGAGGAACACCGAUGGCGAAGGCAGGUCUCUGGGCCACUACUGACGCUGAGAAGCGAAAGCAUGGGGGGCGAACAGG
rnacentral:rRNA from 1 species